UACGGAGGGAGCUAGCGUUAUUCGGAAUUACUGGGCGUAAAGCGCACGUAGGCGGCUUUGUAAGUUAGAGGUGAAAGCCCGGAGCUCAACUCCGGAACUGCCUUUAAGACUGCAUCGCUUGAAUCCAGGAGAGGUGAGUGGAAUUCCGUGUGUAGAGGUGAAAUUCGUAGAUAUUCGCAAGAACACCAGUGGCGAAGGCGGCUCACUGGCCCGGUACUGACGCUGAGGUGCGAAAGCGUGGGGAGCAAACAGG
rnacentral:rRNA from 1 species